CAACGUAGCAUGCAUUUACUGGCACAAUAGGAACUAUGUUCUGUGUUCUAUGUCCUGUUUUGUGGUAUUUGUCUUGUGGCCAGAAUUACUGUGUUUAAAAUUUUCAUAGGACAGUCUAGUUCAAAAUCAAA